UUUCCACAGCUUUCUUGACCUUUGCUUCAUGUGUCACAGACAGCUGCUGCAGCAACAGCAUCACACGCACACCCAAGUUGGAAAGAGAGUAAGAGGAUGAUGCCAGAGA
rnacentral:miRNA from 1 species